UCAUAUUUUCUUCUCCAGAUUGACAUUGUCACUGAAGAAACAGCUGAUGUCGGCUUACAAUCUGGAGUCCAUCAAGGCUGUUGCAUGGGGUAUCACUCAUGAAGAUGAUGCUUUGAGAAAGUAUGAAAAGGACUUUGAUGCAGCUGUAGAGCAGUCAGGAUAUGGUUGCAUGAAUCCGGAGUGUUGGGAGCUUCACCUGAUGGCUUAGUUGUUCGACCACCAACAUGCAGUGUAUUUUAUCAAACUCCAGAAGCCAAAGACGCCAUUCCUGAUAUUGUAGAGGUGAAGUGUCCAUAUACAGCAUCGUCUUCAACAGUAGCAGAUGGGGCACAAAAUUUGAAGGAUUUUUCAUAGAUCUUAAACAAGAUACCCUGUGCCUGAAAACCAGUCACCCAUACUAUCAUCAAAUUCAAGGCCAGCUACACAUAUGUAACAAAACAUUCUGCAACUUAAUUGUGUGGACAAGAGUAGACUGCAUUGUGAUUAGAAUAGUAAAAGACAUUGAAUGGACAGCAAAUGUUCCAAAGCUGAUAGAUUUCUACAUUAACAUUUUCAUUCCAGCACUGAUGGAAAACUGAGUUCUGGUUUGAACUUCUUGACACUUAGUUUUGUACCUCUAGAAUUUUCUAACAAUGGAAAAUGGGUAAUCGUGUUAAAUGUGUUGAAUGUUCCCAAGUCUCAUAAAUGUAUGAUAUGAUAUGUCACAAUCCAAUGAAUCCAUCAUAAAACUUCUGGCUUAUAAGACUAUUUUAAAUAGCAAUGAUGAUUAAUAAAAUCUAUGUACUACAUAAAAAAAGAAUAUCAAAAUUUAGAAUCAUUUUAUUAAUGAAUUGAAGAUGUUAUUCUCAAAGUGAAAAUGUAACAUUUUUGUCUUUCUUAAUAGAUAAAUUGUUGAAAACAUGAA